rnacentral:tRNA from 98 species
GCCCAGGUGGCGGAAUUGGUAGACGCACUACCUUGAGGUGGUAGCGACGCAAGUCGUAGGGGUUCGAGUCCCCUCUUGGGCACCA